ncrna:unclassified sequences FuFi-1 RNA
UUUGUCAGCAUUCGGGCAUAUUGCAGAACCAAAACUGCGAAAGUGGCAAAGUACUUGAUAGAAGUGCUUGGGGCCAUCGAGUGCGGUGAAAACCUGCAAAGUACAUAGGGUAAACAAAUUUGGCGAAAAACUGUAAGGAAUGGCCCUCCUUGCAGUUCUUU